rnacentral:rRNA from 2 species
GAAGGCUAUGUUGGCCGGGCGACGGUUGUCCCGGUUUAAGCGUGUAGGCUGGUUUUCCAGGCAAAUCCGGAAAAUCAAGGCUGAGGCGUGAUGACGAGGCACUACGGUGCUGAAGCAACAAAUGCCCUGCUUCCAGGAAAAGCCUCUAAGCAUCAGGUAACAUCAAAUCGUACCCCAAACCGACACAGGUGGUCAGGUAGAGAAUACCAAGGCGCUUGAGAGAACUCGGGUGAAGGAACUAGGCAAAAUGGUGCCGUAACUUCGGGAGAA